rnacentral:misc_RNA from 1 species
AAGUCGUAACAAGGUCUCCGUUGGUGAACCAGCGGAGGGAUCAUUACCGAGUUUUCAACUCCCAAACCCCUGUGAACAUACCUCGACGUUGCUUCGGCGGGACCGCCCCGGUCGCCCCUCGCGGGCGGACCGGAACCAGGCGCCCGCCGGAGGACCACAAACUCUUGUUUCCUAAUAGUGGCAAUAUUCUGAGUCUCAAAAACAAAUAAAUUAAAACUUUCAACAACGGAUCUCUUGGCUCUG